rnacentral:rRNA from 1 species
CAGCCGCCGCGGUAAUACGUAGGUCCCGAGCGUUGUCCGGAUUUAUUGGGCGUAAAGCGAGCGCAGGCGGUUAGAAAAGUCUGAAGUGAAAGGCAGUGGCUCAACCAUUGUAGGCUUUGGAAACUGUUUAACUUGAGUGCAGAAAGGGAGAGUGGAAUUCUGUGUGUAGCGGUGAAAUGCGUAGAUAUAUGGAGGAACACCGGUGGCGAAAGCGGCUCUCUGGUCUGUAACUGACGCUGAGGCUCGAAAGCGUGGGGAGCGAACAGGAUUAGAUACCCCGGUAGUCCCUGUCUCUUAUACC